rnacentral:misc_RNA from 1 species
GAUGAAGAACGUAGUGAAAUGCGAUACUUGGUGUGAAUUGCAGAAUCCCGUGAACCAUCGAGUCUUUGAACGCAAGUUGCGCCCGAAGCCAUCAGGUUGAGGGCACGUCUGCCUGGGCGUCACAUAUCGUUGCCCAAUGCCUAUUGCAGUGCAAUAGGAAUUUCUAGGGCGAAUGAUGGCUUCCCGUGAGCGUUGUUGCCUCGCGGUUGGUUGAAAAUCGAGUCCUUGGUAGGGUGUGCCAUGGUAGAUGGUGGUCGAGUUAGAACGAUACCGAUCAUGUGCAUGCUCCCCAAAAUAUGGCCUCUAUGACCCACACGCGUCUUUUGACGCUCAUGACGAGACCUCAGGUCAGGCGGGGCUACCCGCUGAAUUUAAGCAUAUCAAUAAGGGAGGA